rnacentral:rRNA from 1 species
CGAGGACGAACGCUGGCGGCGUGCUUAACACAUGCAAGUCGAACGGUAAGGCCCUUCGGGGUACACGAGUGGCGAACGGGUGAGUAACACGUGGGUGAUCUGCCCUGCACUUCGGGAUAAGCCUGGGAAACUGGGUCUAAUACCGGAUAGGACCAUGGACUUCACGGUUUGUGGUGGAAAGCUUUGCGGUGUGGGAUGGGCCCGCGGCCUAUCAGCUUGUUGGUGGGGUAAUGGCCUACCAAGGCGACGACGGGUAGCCGGCCUGAGAGGGUGUCCGGCCACACUGGGACUGAGAUACGGCCCAGACUCCUACGGGAGGCAGCAGUGGGGAAUAUUGCACAAUGGGCGCAAGCCUGAUGCAGCGACGCCGCGUGAGGGAUGACGGCCUUCGGGUUGUAAACCUCUUUCAAUAGGGACGAAGCGCAAGUGACGGUACCUAUAGAAGAAGCACCGGCCAACUACGUG